CCUACGGGAGGCUGCAGUGGGGAAUAUUGGACAAUGGGCGAAAGCCUGAUCCAGCCAUGCCGCGUGUGUGAAGAAGGCCUUCGGGUUGUAAAGCACUUUCAGUGGGGAAGAAAGCCUUGGGGCUAAUACCCUCGAGGAAGGACAUCACCCACAGAAGAAGCACCGGCUAACUCCGUGCCAGCAGCCGCGGUAAUACGGAGGGUGCGAGCGUUAAUCGGAAUUACUGGGCGUAAAGCGCGCGUAGGCGGUCUGAUAAGCCGGUUGUGAAAGCCCCGGGCUCAACCUGGGAACGGCAUCCGGAACUGUCAGGCUAGAGUGCAGGAGAGGAAGGUAGAAUUCCCGGUGUAGCGGUGAAAUGCGUAGAGAUCGGGAGGAAUACCAGUAGCGAAGGCGGCCUUCUGGACUGACACUGACGCUGAGGUGCGAAAGCGUGGGUAGCAAACAGGAUUAGAUACCCGGGUAGUC
rnacentral:rRNA from 1 species